rnacentral:lncRNA from 1 species
GUAGAGUUACAAACUCUAGCAAAUCCUACAAUCCUUGUAUUGGUCAUACCAUUUAUUGGUUAACGCUACACUCUGUGAUUCAAAUAUUACUUUCUCUUUCUCUUUGGCUAAUUAUCAUAUUGGUUAAUGCCACAUUCCCUUGCUCUUCUUUUUGGCUAAUUACCAUUUAUUUGUUAACGUCACACUCUUUACAAACACUCUUUCUAUUCAAACAAUUUCUUCACCUUUUGGCAACCUAAUCAAUUUUUUCUUUCUUUUUUUCCAUCCUUAAUUUCAUGAACUACGGAGCUCUGACUUCCUCAUUGCACUAUGAGGAUACGUAGGCACGAGGGUUCGAAUC